UUUUUGGCUCAUUCUUACGUUUGAUAUCUUACCACCUUGUUUGCUCAUCACAUGGUUGAUGAAGAUCAAGGUGUCAAUAUUUGGAUGACAACGAGAGAGAGCACGCUUGUUGAUAAUCAUGCGCAAGAUGGCAUGGCUGUGCACAUGCGUGCUCUCCUUCGUUGUCAUUCAAAAUUUCUGCUUUUAUCAACUCAAUAUCAAUAUUGAUGUUUUGUUGCACAUGGGGCGAGCAGGUGCUUCGCUGAGCUCCCAAUCUUUUCUUUUCGUACCAGAGCUUGCAAUGUUGACGCGUCGAGAUGGUUGGGGCCCUUAGGAUUGCGGGGGAGGGGUGCUUGUGUUUGCUGUUGCAAGGCUCAAUUGUCAACUAUGAAAAAGGAUUAGGUUUCAGGUAACUCGGUCUCAGACAUCAUGCGAAGAUCGAAAUUUUUGGCUCAUUCAUAUGUUUGGUUUCUUAAUUUUCCUUCUAGUUUUCUCAUCUCACGGCGGGUUGAUGAUCAUCAACUUGUAAAUAUUUGGAUGACAAUGAGAGAGAGCACGCUUGUUGAUAAUCAUGCGCAAGAUGGCAUGGCUGUGCACAUGCGUGCUUUCCUUCGUUGUCAUACAGUGUUAAUUUCUUCUUUUUAUAUACGCAAUAUCAAUAUUGAUGUUUUGUUGCAUGUGGGGCGAGCAGGUAAUUCCGAUCUCCAUUCUGUAUAUAUAUGUAUGUAUAUAUAUAUAUAUAUAUAUAUAUAUUAUGUUACCGGAUCAUACUUAAUUCCUAUUAGUUCACUAUCAUAUCUUUGAAGCAAG